UACGUAGGGAGCAAGCGUUGUCCGGAAUCAUUGGGCGUAAAGCGCGCGUAGGUGGCUUCAUAAGUCCGUUGUGAAAGUCAAAGGCUCAACCUUUGAAAGCCGAUGGAUACUGUGGAUCUAGAGUACGGAAGAGGCGAGUGGAAUUCCUGGUGUAGCGGUGGAAUGCGCAGAUAUCAGGAGGAACACCAAUAGCGAAGGCAGCUCGCUGGGACGUUACUGACACUGAGGCGCGAAAGCGUGGGGAGCGAACAGG
rnacentral:rRNA from 1 species